AUAGCGUCCGGUAGCGACACGGAGCCGGCUCCCCCUUUUCCAGCCUUCCUCCCCAUCUCCCAUUCUCCAUCCCCCACGACCUAUACCAGAGGUCCUUAGGCCUCCACGUCUCUCCUUUUGCCGAGUAGCCCAAGGUUUCCACCCAUCUGCCAGGUCUGGGGCGUCAAGUCGGCUGCCUCGGCUUGGGAAGGUGCUUGGGAGGGAAGAAGGAAGGAGAGGCCCACCAGGCGAAGGGGUGAGGGGUAGGGGGUUGCGGGAGUUCCCUCUCACUCCCGAAGAUAUAAAGCAACCUUUAUUAUUAUUAUUAUUUUUUCUUGUGAGAGGGAAUGAGGCAGCGGGAUGUUUCCUCUAAAGGCCUUGUUUAAACCUGGGCCCGGGGAAUGGUGGUGGACUGGGUUCUGGGGGAAAGCGGGCUGGUUUCUCAGGUCAACUCAGGCUUCGACUGUUCCCAGGGGGAUGGCGUCCACUCCGAUGGGGAAUGAGGGGGAGAAGAAGAGCAGCUGGCCAUCUCAAGCUGCACCCUCCUUGAGAGGAGGUCCGGCUUCGUUAUCUCGUUCUGAGGAAUACCUGUCCCAGAUCAGUGCAGAACUCAUGGAGGAGGCUUUGUGCACUGCUUGCUGCCACUUGAACCCUGUGCCCAUCAAAAAAAAGCAGUCACAAGACCAAGCGACUCAGAUAUCCAAACGCGCAUUCUUCACCAAGACCUGAGGCACAGACACCUGGUGAGUGAGGCUUCAAGGGAGAUGCUCUUUGUCCUGGGAGAGAGAAACCG
rnacentral:lncRNA from 1 species